UACAGAGGUCCCAAGCGUUGUUCGGAUUCAUUGGGCGUAAAGGGUCCGUAGGCGGUCUUGUAAGUCAGUGGUGAAAGCCCAUCGCUCAACGGUGGAACGGCCAUUGAUACUGCAAGACUUGAAUUAUUAGGAAGUAACUAGAAUAUGUAGUGUAGCGGUGAAAUGCUUAGAGAUUACAUGGAAUACCAAUUGCGAAGGCAGGUUACUACUAGUGGAUUGACGCUGAUGGACGAAAGCGUGGGGAGCGAACAGG
rnacentral:rRNA from 1 species